rnacentral:lncRNA from 1 species
AAGGAAUGAGAAAGAAAAGAAGACUUCAGGGACUGGGAUAGUGCUCAGAAGUGAGAUCACAUGGCCCAGAGGAAGAAAAGAACACUUGGACCCCACCCUUGAGUUGCUUGCCCCCGGUUCCACCUAUGCCUCAUCACCGGUUCUAGGGUGCUGUGCUUUGUCACAGCAAGUGCCAUUGUGACUUAUCCAGCAUGCAUAGGUUUGUUACUGGUCAUAUAUAAGUUUCUGAGCAGGUAAGGUAAAACUGCCACAAUAAGCAAAAGGAAGCAGAUGAGAGAAGUGCCUGUCUAAAGGCAUUGGGAGUGUUGUCUCUGCACCCAGCCUGGCCAUCUCUUCCACCCACCAUGACAGACAGCCAUCCACAAGUUAGACUCUUGCUGCAGACAGCUUGAAGAUGUGAGCAAUUUCCCAUCUGUUCCAGGGAAGGCAGGGAAUCAAGGCAAGAACCUGGAGACAGGAUCGAUAUAGAGGCCAUGGAGGAGGGCUGCUUACUGACUCGCUCCUCAUGGCUUGCUCAGUAUGAUUUCAUAAGCACCACCUAAGGAGCGUCAUCACCUCCCAUGGAUGGGCUCUCCCCC